UGUUAAAAAUUUCAUCUAUUUUUACUAUUAAAAAAUGGGCAAAUUAGUCUCUAUAUGUAUAGGGACCAGUUUUUAGCAGAACAAAUUGAUGAAAUUUUUAACA
rfam:Gossypium raimondii Chr05_contig_1361, whole genome shotgun sequence.